rnacentral:rRNA from 1 species
CCUUCGGGAGGCAGCAGUGAGGAAUAUUGGUCAAUGGGCGAGAGCCUGAACCAGCCAAGUCGCGUGAAGGAUGAAGGAUCUAUGGUUUGUAAACUUCUUUUAUAUGGGAAUAAAGUGAGGAACGUGUUCCUUUUUGUAUGUACCAUAUGAAUAAGCAUCGGCUAACUCCGUGCCAGCAGCCGCGGUAAUACGGAGGAUGCGAGCGUUAUCCGGAUUUAUUGGGUUUAAAGGGUGCGUAGGCGGAUUAUCAAGUCAGCGGUAAAAAUUUGGGGCUCAACCCCGUCGUGCCGUUGAAACUGAUAUUCUUGAGUGGGCUAGAAGUAUGCGGAAUGCGUGGUGUAGCGGUGAAAUGCAUAGAUAUCACGCAGAACUCCGAUUGCGAAGGCAGCAUACCGGCGCCCAACUGACGCUGAAGCACGAAAGCGUGGGUAUCGAACAGGAUUAGAUACCCUAGUAGUC